CAGGGCUUAGGGUUCAGGGUUUAGGUAGGAGUUAGAGAUUCAGCCAGUCACUCUUGUGAUUAUUUCUCCUCUUUUUCAGGUUUGGUCCUCCAUACUCUUAAACUUCCUGGUAGACGGCUGCACUGACCUUUGACCUGAUAAAACACAGUGGAUCAACACCAGCAGAUGACAUGGCUCCCCAAACCAUCACUGACUGUAGGAACUUCACGCUGUACUUCCAGCAACGUGGAUUCUGUGCCUCUCCUCUCUUCCUCCAGACUCUGGGACCAAAAUUGACUUUUAUCUGAAAACAGGAUUUUGGACCACUGAUCAACAGUCCAAUCCUUUUCGUCCUUAGUCCAGGUUUGGCCGCCACCUGUAGGAAGUCGGAGGUCACUACAAAGCUAAGAACACACACCGACCACUAAACCCGCCCCUAUAAAAAAACAUGAAUGGGC